rnacentral:misc_RNA from 1 species
GGAACAGCGAACUCUGCAUUCUAGAUUCAAGCUUCCAAUGAUUGGAGACAUUGUAUCCACUGAGAAACAACCUACUCUUUGUCACUGCAACAAUAAAUACAAUUUAUUUGCUUCAAACUUCAACCAAUUGUCUCUAUGCUUUUCUCCUCGUGUGUACUACGAGGAAAUGUUUUAUGAUCAAUAGCUUCUGGUUUGGUGCAGUGGAUCAUAGU